rnacentral:rRNA from 1 species
UACGGGGGGGGCAAGCGUUGUUCGGAAUCACUGGGCGUAAAGGGCGCGUAGGCGGGGAGGUAAGUCGGGUGUGAAAUCCCUCGGCCCAACCGAGGAACUGCGCCCAAGACUGCUUCUCUUGAGUCCCGGAGAGGAAGAUGGAAUUCCCGGUGUAGCGGUGAAAUGUGUAGAGAUCGGGAGGAACACCGGUGGCGAAGGCGGUCUUCUGGACGGUGACUGACGCUGAGGCGCGAAAGCGUGGGGAGCAAACAGG